UACGUAGGGUCCGAGCGUUGUCCGGAAUUAUUGGGCGUAAAGGGCUCGUAGGCGGUUUGUCGCGUCUGCUGUGAAAGCCCUGGGCUCAACCUGGGAACUGCAGUGGAUACUGGCCAGCUCGAGUGUGAUAGAGGAUGGUGGAAUUCCCGGUGUAGCGGUGAAAUGCGUAGAGAUCGGGAGGAACACCCAGAGGCGAAGGCGGCUACCUGGACAAUUGCUGACGCUCAGGCACGAAGCGUGGGGAGCAAAAGGG
rnacentral:rRNA from 1 species